UGGGGUGUCGCCAAGUGGUAAGGCACAUGGUUUUGGUCCAUGCAUUCGGGAGUUCGAUCCUCUCCACCCCAGCCA
rnacentral:tRNA from 1 species